GACGCAUCUCCGAGCCACCCCUCCCUCUCCCUCCCUCCUUCCCAUCCCCCCUUCUUUUCAAGCGUGAGACUCGUGAUCCUUCCGCCGCUUCCCUUCUUCAUUGACUCGGAAAAAAAAUCCCCGAGGAAAAUAUAAUAUUCAGAGUACUUAUUUUCAAUCCAGUAUUUGUCCCCGUUUCACGUGAUAUAUAUUUUUUAGGACCUCCCACCCAUUUCUGCUCUCCAAGGAAAGGGAGGGGAAAGAAUUGUAUUUUUCCCCCCAGCCCCGGAUCGUCUAUAUGUUAAAUAUCCGUACUGAUCUGUCUUCAAGGAGAAAUACAUCGCUCGCUUUUUUUAAUAGCUGUACAAAAGAAGUGAAAAGGCAAGAGGACGAAGUCUUUUUCUUUUUCUUGUGGGAGAACUUAAUGCUGCAUUUAUCGUUAACCUAACACCCCAACAUAAAACAAAAGGAAGAAAAGGAGGAAGGAAGGAAAAAAGGUGAAUCGGAAAAAGAGUGAUCAUGUCAGGGCGGCCCAGAACCACCUCCUUUGCGGAGAGCUGCAAGCCAGUGCAGCAGCCUUCAGCUUUUGGCAGCAUGAAAGUUAGCAGAGACAAAGAUGGCAGCAAGGUGACCACAGUGGUGGCAACUCCUGGGCAGGGUCCAGACAGGCCGCAAGAAGUCAGCUAUACAGACACUAAAGUGAUUGGAAAUGGGUCAUUUGGUGUGGUGUAUCAAGCCAAACUUUGUGAUUCAGGAGAACUGGUUGCCAUCAAGAAAGUAUUACAGGACAAGAGAUUUAAGAACCGAGAGCUCCAGAUCAUGAGAAAGCUAGAUCACUGUAACAUAGUCCGAUUGCGUUAUUUCUUCUACUCAAGUGGUGAAAAGAAAGAUGAGGUCUAUCUUAAUCUGGUGCUGGACUAUGUUCCGGAAACAGUCUACAGAGUUGCCAGACACUAUAGUCGAGCCAAACAGACGCUCCCUGUGAUCUAUGUCAAGUUGUAUAUGUAUCAGCUGUUCCGAAGUUUAGCCUAUAUCCAUUCCUUUGGAAUCUGCCAUCGGGAUAUUAAACCACAGAACCUCUUGUUGGAUCCUGAUACAGCUGUCUUGAAACUCUGUGACUUUGGAAGUGCAAAGCAGCUGGUCCGUGGAGAACCCAAUGUUUCGUAUAUCUGUUCUCGGUACUAUAGGGCACCAGAGUUGAUCUUUGGAGCCACUGAUUAUACCUCUAGUAUAGAUGUAUGGUCUGCAGGCUGUGUGUUGGCUGAGCUAUUGCUAGGACAGCCAAUAUUUCCAGGAGACAGUGGUGUGGAUCAAUUGGUGGAAAUAAUCAAGGUCCUGGGGACACCAACAAGGGAGCAAAUUAGAGAAAUGAACCCAAACUACACGGAAUUCAAAUUCCCUCAAAUUAAGGCACACCCUUGGACUAAGGAUUCGUCAGGAACAGGACAUUUCACCUCAGGAGUGCGGGUCUUCCGACCCCGAACUCCACCCGAGGCGAUUGCACUGUGCAGCCGUCUGCUGGAGUAUACACCAACUGCCCGGCUGACACCGCUGGAAGCUUGUGCACAUUCAUUUUUUGAUGAAUUACGGGACCCAAAUGUCAAACUACCAAAUGGGCGAGACACACCUGCACUCUUCAACUUCACCACUCAAGAACUGUCAAGUAAUCCACCUCUAGCUACCAUCCUUAUUCCUCCUCAUGCUCGGAUUCAAGCAGCUGCUUCAACUCCUUCAAAUACCACAGCAGCCUCAGAUGGACAUCCCAUCUCCACCCAAGCAGGGAGGAAGUGAAUGCCUGCCAACAUGACAAAGCAUUUCCAGGUCUACUCCAAGGUUGAAAACCCUUCUAACAGAAAAGGGAAUCAUGAUAAGAGUUGGACAAGAUGCUAAUGCUGGAGACCGUGGACAGACCAAUAACGCCGCUUCUGCAUCAGCUUCCGACUCCUCCUGAACAGUCCCGAGCAGCCAGCUGCACAGGAACAACCACCAGUUUACUUGAGUGUCACUCAGCAACACUGGUCACAAUUGGAAAGAAAAUUAAAAAGAGAAAAAAAAAACCUAUUCAUUUUAGUGUUCAAUUUUUUUAAUUAUUAUUGUUGUUCUUAUUUAACCUUGUAAAAUAUCUAUAAAUACAAACCAGUUUCAUUGUAUUCUCACUUGAGGGAGAUCCAGGGGUGGGAGGGGUUGUGGGGAGGGGGAAAGCGGAGCACUAGAACACACAGUCUCUCCCCCACGACAAUCUUUUUUUAUCAAAAAGUCUGCUGUUGUAUACUUUAAAAACAGGACUCCUGCCUCAUGCCCCUUCCACAAAAGAAGACGACUUUGUUCUGUGCUGAGGUUUUUUUGAACUUUGUUUUCUUUUAAAGUCAAGUGUAAGACUUGGGUAUAGUGCACAGCUUGAAAUUGGUUGGGAGCUUAGCAGGUGUAACUCAAUGGGGACUUAAAUGUCACUUGUAAAAUUAAUCCAUAUCCUCGGGUACUUGAAGACUUGCCUUUAGCUUGUCAAUGGCAGGUGUGGCAGACAAAGGAAAUGUGUGUCAUUUGUAACCCGGGAGGUCAAUAAAGUUUGAAUCUAUAAGGGGAAAAUUCUUAA